rnacentral:rRNA from 1 species
GAUGAACGCUGGCGGCGUGCCUAAUACAUGCAAGUCGAGCGAACAGACGAGGAGCUUGCUCCUCUGACGUUAGCGGCGGACGGGUGAGUAACACGUGGAUAACCUACCUAAGACUGGGAUAACUUCGGGAAACCGGAGCUAAUACCGGAUAAUAUAUUGAACCGCAUGGUUCAAUAGUGAAAGACGGUUUUGCUGUCACUUAUAGAUGGAUCCGCGCCGCAUUAGCUAGUUGGUAAGGUAACGGCUUACCAAGGCAACGAUGCGUAGCCGACCUGAGAGGGGGAUCGGCCACACUGGAACUGAAGCACGGUCCAGACUCCUACGGGAGGGAGCAGUAGGGAAUCUUCCGCAAAGGGCGAAAGCCUGACGGAGCAACGACGCGUGAGUGAUGAAGGUCUUCGGAUCGUAAAACUCUGUUAUUAGGGAAGAACAAAUGUGUAAGUAACUAUGCACGUCUUGACGGUACCUAAUCAGAAAGCCACGGCUAACUACGUG